UAUUGGUGAGAAUCGAAUGCUCCAAAAACCUAAGGGGUUCCUUUGUAAGAUUCGUCCACAGAGGGUGAGUCAGGGCCUAAGAUCAUACCGAAAGACGUAGUUGAUGGACAACAGGUGAAUAGUCAUGUCCUACCCCUUGUUGGUCCCGAGGGACAGAGGAAACUAAGUUAGCCGAAAAGUGGUUAUCGGUUCAAGGACCCAAGGUGACCAUGCUUCUUCUUUUUUUUUCAUGGUAAGAAGAGGUAGAGGAAUUACAUAGUUAUUGCAAUGGCAGGGCUACUAAUUGUCAUAGAACUGCACUCUUUAGUGAAAUGGUUCGCAAAUUUUGCUAUUUGACAAUCAUAUAUGAUGUGGGCAGACCUCAAGGGAG
rnacentral:ncRNA from 1 species